GUCUAUUUAAGCGCACCUGAGCGCUUUCUCUCCACUUCUUAUAUUGUAUGUUACUUGCAGCAUGGUCCAGAACACAUCACGUCAUGACCUUCUAUGUACCUCCUGCUGUGCCCUACCUGCCGAGCCAGUGGCCCUUAUCGAUGCCCGUGCCUUACAACCCCUGCUUACCCUUUCAAGGGAUUGGUUUUGGUGUGGCUUUGCCGCAAAGUGCCUAUAUGGAGACCCCUGGCUUUGUGGUGUUCCCUGCUCAGCUCCCCUUGAGAGAUCACAGGGCUCCGAACUCUCACUAUCCACCUUCUCAGCGGUUCAGAUGCCAGGCUUUUUCUGCUGAAAAGGAGAUGGUCAGCUUGGGGGUGCAAACAGAGACUCCAUUCCUGGGCUGGAGUGAUCCCCAGUUCUCCAAGAACAUCGAAUGUGCAGGGUCUGAUUCUGGAAGGGGUACAGCCUGCUCCAACUCCACCCCUGCUUCCUCUCCCACCUUUGGUGUCUGCUUGCAGGAAAGGGCACAAAUGAAGACAACUGCAGAUGUCAGAUGUGCCCCAGGGAGUGCCUGUGUGGUUGGAAUUGCGAAUGGCUGGAGACAGAUUUGCACACCUUUGAAUGAGUUGCCUGCAGGAGAGCCAUAUGGUGAUGGGAACCUUGUGGAACAUGAUGCCUACCCUUCUGAGGGCCUUGUCCCAGUGUAUGCUUCCUCAGCACACGAGAGCAACCUUUGUAUGGAUUCAGGGAAGCAGGGAGAACAGCAAUCCCCCUCUUGUCCCAGGGUCCAGCUAGGGCAAGUAUUGCCACCUUCUAGCAUGGAUGUAUUGCACAGUGGCUGUGAGGCCAGUCAGGUAAUGUUGAAAUCUGCUACUUCACAGCAGGGUGAAGAGCCAAACAAAGUGGCAGAUUACAUUGAGGAGAAUACAUUUAAAAUCAUAAAGCUGCCUUUCAGCAUCCAGUACAUGGUAGACUUCAAGAAGAUGGCCAAUCAGUCCAUGUGGUCAGAGUCUGUAGCAAUUUAUGUCCCAUCAUCUGAAUGGACACUCCAGAAUGAGCUGCUGCUAUCAGAGAAGGAGGGUAAUAUCACAGUAAAUGAUUAUUCAAAAUCCCAAGAUGCUGUAACUCUUGUUGGGCUGAAUCAAGACCUUCCCUCAAAGAGCCAGAGGGAGUCAAUCUCAUCAGACUCUCUGCCUCCUUGUAUCCCUGCUUCAAGCUGGCUUGCAGACAUGGCUGGAAUUAAUCACUACAGCAAACUUUCCCUUGCUGUCCAGGAACAGGAAUGCAUUCUCAGAACCCCAGCUGAUAUGUUUACUUUGAGAAGGCAGAACCAAGACUCUAAAAGUUGCAAGUGUUAUGAGGUUGAGAAAUGCAAGUGUAAGAAGUUGAACUGGGAAGGCAGUUGUCAGUCUGCAACCUGCAUCUCAGCAGCCAAAGGACACUGUGUCCAGUGUGUGACUGGCAGGAAAAUUCAUUACUGGGCUUGGAAAAACACUGAUUCAAUUCAGAGGCAGAUGGUCCAGUCUUCAUCACUGAUGGACAGAACUUGCCUCAGCAGAGCCUAUAUGAGGAGUGUACCCAACUAGGACAUUAAAAAACUGGAAGAAGCUCAAGAAAAUGGCACUAGGAAAGCAGGCCAACAUCUGGAACAGCUCUUCUAAAAGGCAUGUGAAAUAGGAGUAGCCUGACUAAUCUUUGCUUAUUUUAUUCUUUUAAACUUCUGGUGAAGGGGGUAAUUGUGUGGGUGCAACCUUGGUAAAGUCACCAGAUGGUCACAUUUGUGACUACUUGAUAGCAUUAUUCUUUCUUUGCUGUUCCUUGACUAUGUUAGUAUAACUGCAGAUUUAGAUCAAACUGUUCAGAUAGCAGUCUAAGAGACUUAAGCUUUGUCUUUGAAAUGCACAAAUAUGAUGCUGCAGUUUCUUGCCUCAACAUGCAUAAGGUUAUGAAAACAAAUGUGCUUAAUUUUACUUAUUUUGUAUGCUCCUUCAGGGAUAGUGGGGAUGUAACUGCUUCAUUCACUGGCUUUUCUGGAAGCCAACAUUUUAAGUACUUUGGCUUGUGUUGUACCUCUUAAAUCUAAUAAAUCAUAUUUUAG
ensembl:lncRNA